rnacentral:tRNA from 1 species
GAUGAUGUGGCUUAAGUGGUAGAGCACAUGCUUAGCACACAGGGGGUCCUGGGUUCAACCCCCAGCACCUCCG